GACGAACGCUGGCGGCGUGCUUAACACAUGCAAGUCGAACGGAAAGGCCCUGCUUUUGUGGGGUGCUCGAGUGGCGAACGGGUGAGUAACACGUGAGUAACCUGCCCUUGACUUUGGGAUAACUUCAGGAAACUGGGGCUAAUACCGGAUAGGAGCUCCUGCUGCAUGGUGGGGGUUGGAAAGUUUCGGCGGUUGGGGAUGGGCUCGCGGCUUAUCAGCUUGGUGGUGGGGUAGUGGCUUACCAAGGCUUUGACGGGUAGCCGGCCUGAGCGGGUGACAGGCAAGAUGUGGACGGCAAUACGGCCCAGACUCCUACGGGAGGCAGCAGUGGGGAAUAUUGCACAAUGAGCGGAAGCCUGAUGCAGCAACGCCGCGUGCGGGAUGACGGACUUCGGGUUGUAAACCGCUUUCGCCUGUGACGAAGCGUGGGUGACGGUAAUGGGUAAAGAAGCACCGGCUAACUACGUGCCAGCCGCCGCCGUAA
rnacentral:rRNA from 1 species